AGUGAACGCUGGCGGUAGGCCUAACACAUGCAAGUCGAACGGCAGCACAGUAAGAGCUUGCUCUUACGGGUGGCGAGUGGCGGACGGGUGAGGAAUACAUCGGAAUCUACUUUUUCGUGGGGGAUAACGUAGGGAAACUUACGCUAAUACCGCAUACGACCUACGGGUGAAAGCAGGGGAUCUUCGGACCUUGCGCGAUUGAAUGAGCCGAUGUCGGAUUAGCUAGUUGGCGGGGUAAAGGCCCACCAAGGCGACGAUCCGUAGCUGGUCUGAGAGGAUGAUCCGCCACACUGGAACUGAGACACGGUCCAGACUCCUACGGGAGGCAGCAGUGGGGAAUAUUGGACAAUGGGCGUAAGCCUGAUCCAGCCAUACCGCGUGGGUGCAGAAGGCCUUCGGGUUGUAAAGCCCUUUUGUUGGGAAAGAAAAGCAGCAGGUUAAUACCCCGCUGUUCUGACGGUACCCAAAGAAUAAGCACCGGCUAACUUCGUG
rnacentral:rRNA from 1 species